GCCGGGGUGGCCGAGUUGGUCCAAGGCGCGGGCCUGCUAUUUCAGAAAGUGGAAAGUCCGUCCCCGCAAGGGGGCGUGGGUUCAAAUCCCACCCCCGGCG
rnacentral:tRNA from 1 species